UGACUGAGUUCUUUACACGGGGCGCGGGGUCGGCUUGUGAGCUGGACUCACUCUACUUCCAGGAGAGCGCCAUGACCCGCUGCUCGCAUGAAAACUCGCCCUACCAGCUCCUGUACGGUCAGACACACAUUCAUGAGCAGGGUGAGCUCCAGAGGCGACUCCUUGUUGAAGAAGGCAAAGAGGCGUUUUGACCAGAAGGAGGGGAUGAAGUCCUUGUACUGGAGCCCCCAGUAGACGUUGAACACCCUGUGGAGGUCCAGAGCCAGACAGCUGCAGUUGUACACCAACACACCCAGCUCCUUCUUCUGGAUGGAGGCUGGACUCGUAUUCGGUGGAGUUGAGGAGCCACAGCGGGGAAACGAUCUCCACCACGCGGAUGGCCCGAUCUAGUAGGCCGAAGAGCCCUGACGACAGCGGUAGGUGGGACGCGGUGCUGUUCGAAAAGGAGACAUCUUCCGGAAUGUUCUCCACCAGAACAACUCUGAGGAAAAGAACCAUGAAAGAUGUAUUACCAAUGGACACUAAUACAAGGUCUAUUGACAGAAUCACAAGCUGCACUCGGCGGACCGUUUGAGCCGGGAAAUGGAACGUCUGCCCUCCGCGGUGGUGUUGACGAGGUGCUAAAAGCAUCAUGAAAUUUGGGCCUCCAUCUAGCCUUUUUGCACAGCAGCCUGGAGGUCAAUUGUAACCUGCUUACGAGCCGCCCGACACCAGGAAAUUACGAAAGGCCGUCUCGUAAACUCAAACUGUGCAUAAACCAUCGAGCAAUACACAGUAAGAAAAUACAGUCAUAUUGUUCUGCAGAGGAGGUGAAUAGGAACAGAAAAAUCUAUUAGGGCCUGAAAACAAAAACACAUAUUGUAUAAUUUCAAGAAUAACGUCAAAUAAUUGCAAAAAUAAAGUCAUACUCCAUUCUUGAAGUAAGUUGCCUUGUAAUUGCGGUGGAAUUUUUAAAUACACAUCCUUCAAUGCUAAUUGAGUGCACUUAAAUUUACCUGAAAAUUGUACCAAGCGUUAAGGACAAGGGACAAUUUAGUAAAUUUUUGAAAUUCUAAAUAGUGCAACAAAUUCUGAAUCUUGUAUGUCAGUGUCCUAGUAAUUAUUGUGGUCUUGUAAUAGAAAUAUUACAAAAUGAUGAUUAAAAAGACAUGAAAAUGUCUUGCAUACUCAAUAGCCUGCAUUAUUGAAGUCAUACUUACAAAAUUAAAUAUGUCAGUUUAUUUUAGUACAAAUCUUACAAAAUUCUUAUAAAGAAACACUACAAGUAUGUAAAUCUUUUAUUUUUUAAAAUUUUCAUUAUCUGACUUUUCGGAGACAGUUCUUCUUGCGUGAACGAUACCAGCACAUUUUGCUUUUAUAAAAGUCGUCUUUUAGAUUUAAAAAUUUUAAAAAAUCCUAAUAUCACACCAUUUGCUCAAAAUUCCCACACAUACACAAGUCAGCAUGUUACAUCAUUAAAUAUUAGUUACGAAAUUGUUAAAAAGUGAAAUACCAAAUUACUAUAUUAACAAUAUUUCCUAUUAAAUAUUAGCCUAUUUGUGAUCUGCUUUCUACGCAGUAUUUUAGCCUCUGUUUUAACUAUAACAUUUGUUUCCGUUAUGCUCAAUGGUCUGUGCGUCUGAUUUCCGCAUGUAAAAUUUCCAGGAUGUGUGUGCAGUGUGCACUCUGGCAGGCCAAUGUGUACUACUAACAUAUAUUAUAAUACUGUAAGCGCUAAAAGCAAAAAGGAAAAAAAAAAAAAAGCUCACAUUUCCAAUGAUGGAUUGUGAGUUCCAGCUCAAAUAAGGCUCAGAGGCUCUCUCAUGAAAAACAUGUCAGGCUCGCACUUAAUAUAUCACCCCGCCUGCUUCUGAGUCUUUUGCAAUGUCACACCUUGCAUAAAAUUUACGUUGUGGUGGAAACUCUGGUAAAUGCAGAAUUUGUGUGGAAAUAAGCCAUUUGGAAGAAAAAAAAUAAAUCCAUCAAUUUAAGGUGACAAAACUGGGCAAGAAUUGUUUGUUAGCUCUCCUGUUUAUGGAGAAUGACGUAAAAUGUUCGCAUUUGAUGGCCAAUUUGGUGCAGUUUCGUAGAAAUUGAAUAGUUUUAGUGUAUGUUCCAGCUCAGCCCAUUUUGCAAGAAAAACAAUAUUUUCAUGUGAGGGGGCAAAAUUGGACAGUUUGCUUCUCUAUUCGUUUGUUGGCUACCAGGUCAAUCUCUGGUUCACUGAGAAUGAUGUAAAAUUUUAGCAUUAGACGGCCAUUUACAGUAAGUCCUGUUUCAUAGAAAUCAGUUGUGUAGUUUCGGUGUAAUGCUGCUAACAAACCAAGAGCAAUUUAGAAAAAGAAAUUCCACUUAGACUUGUAAAGUGCGGCCCACUGUAAACAAAAAAAUAGUCAACCUUAACAUGUAUGGUCUAACUCAGCUCUUUUUUUUUUUACAAAAAGAACGCUUAUCCUCACCAGGGUCGCGGGUGGGCUGGAGCCUAUCCCAGCUAUCUUCGGGAGAGAGGUGGGGUACACCCUGUACUGGUCGCCAGCCAAUCACAGGGCACAUAUAAACGAAAAACCAUUCGCACUCACAGACACACCUACGGGCAAUUUAGAGCCUUCAAUUAACCUACCAUGCAUGUUUUUGGGAUGUGGGAGGAAACCGGAGUGCCCGGAGAAAAUCCACGCAGGCACGGGGAAAACAUGCAAACUCCACACAGCCGGGGCCGGGAUUUGAACCCCGGUCCUCAGAACUGUGAGGCAGAUGUGCUAACCAGUCGGCUACCGUGCCGCUUUGGAAUAAUCCUAUUAACAUAAAAAUAGCGACAAAAAAAAUAAAUACAAAUACCACUGACUUGUAAAGUCCAUAAAACAAAAAAACAACAAAACAGUCCACCUUUAACUUUGACAAAUCGUAUGGUCCAGCUCAGCUCUUUUUGAGUCUGAGAACAAAGAGAAGGACAGGCCAGCACGAGCACUGAGUGCCUCUUAGCGGGCCGAUUUGAGGAAUGAGGGAGGAGAUGGACGGGGACGCAAGGAAAGCAGAUAAAGGACGUAAUUGAGGCGGGAUGCUUGAUGUCAGCAUAGUCGUCUAAUGGAGGGAAUGGGACUGCUGGAUCAGCCAAACCAUUGCUGAUCACACACCUCUCUGCUCCUCAGUCGUGAUGCUGAAGAUGGUGGAGCAUCUAGCCACUUCCUAGUGGAUGGAAAUUGACGUAAGACGUGGGAGCGCACCAUUUUGUUUUGAAGGCGUGGGAAUGGUUCCGUUGUGACACAAACAGCAAAAUUGGGCACUUUGUUUGUUGGUUUCCAGCUUGCACUUUCCUGAUUGGUGAAGCUAUUGUUCACAACCGAUUGGUAAUGGUUUUUCCCAUUCCUUUGCUAGAAGGCCACUUCUACGUAACUAUUAACGAACAAACAGCAAUUAAAACAAGUUCUCCCCCUUUAAUUCGUACUACUUUAAUCCAGAUUCGCACAAAUAUUUGAUUUCUUCUUCCACCUGUCUACAGUUGUUCCGUUUUUUUAGCGAAAUCUUGCUAACGAACUAACAGCGAUUAAAAUGUGUUCUCCACUUUUAAAACCCCAACAUUUAUUCAGAUUCACAUUCAAAUUUCAUUGCUUCUCCAGCCUCUCUACAAAGAUUGGUAGAAAUCGGCUGCACUGUUUUUAGCGUAAUCCUGCUAACAAGCAAACAGUGAUUAAAACAACCAAUUGCUUUUUUAUGCUUGGCAGAGGUAAAUCAAAAUGUCCAAGAGCAAAACACAGGUCCACCUCCCACCUGCAGUCCCGGCUGCAGUUGUCCUCUGAGAUGCCGUCCUCGUCCUCACCCCAAAUGUCCACCGCCGAGAAGAUGAGCGCCACCAGCACGGCGAAGCAGCACAGCAGGGCAAAGACCAUGAUGCACUUCUGCUGAGACUAAAACAAGAGAAAGCACUGAUUUUACACGCCACCUUUGUCAAUGGGAAAAAAAAAAAAAAGGCCCAAAUGACCGAAUCUUGAAUUCCAUUAGUUAGACUCCAGUAGCGCAUUUCAUUUGGACUCUAUUGCUAAUCGAUGAAAUUAUUUAAUGCUCAAUUGGCUCUGCAGAGGUACACCUAAUGUUGCGACCAACGAGGUCAAACUGUACACUGUGUAACAGUGUCAGCAGACACUGGGGGGGGGGGCAUGCAUGCAUGGGGAUCAACAGACCAUGUACUCAACAAUAUUUGCACUGUUCCCAGCCACUGCUGGUCCCAAGCCUGAUUCUAAAUAGGUGGGUCGUGUCAGGAAGGGCAUCUGAUGAAAAAAAAACAAAAAACAAAAAAAACUGUGCCAAACAAAUCAUGCGAGUGACUUGCUAUAGUGACACCUGACAGGGAAAAGCCGAAAGUCACUUCGUUAUGUACUCAACAAUAUUAGUUUUGCAGCAGCAAUGCAGAAUUGAAAAAUGAGCUGACCAUUCAAUUUGCACUGCUCCCCACUGUUUUUGUGACAUUAUUUGGUAAGAAAAAGCUCUAAAAUUUCCCGAGGCGUUCCCAGAAACAUCGCUUGUAUAAGUUUAGCUUUGGAAAUAUUAAAUGUGGGACACAUUCCAUAGAGGAAAUAAUAUUAAGUGGAGAUUUAUUCAAUGUGCAUUCUAUACAAAUCUAAUUAAGCACAUUUAGUUGUGUUAUAAUUCAGUACAUGCAUCCUCUGAGUUUAAAAAUGAACAAUUUAUUUAUUUUUUUCUAAAUUUAAAAUUGUUUCACAAUAUAUACCCUGCAAUUGGCUGGCGACUAGUUCAAGGUGUGCCCCACCUCUCGCCCAGUGUCAGCUGGGAUAGGCUCCAGCACCCCUGCGAAGCUAGUGAGGACGCUUUUACAAUUCUACAUUAAAAUGCCCAUUUGUCAAGUUGUUUUUUUCAAAUGAAAUUUAAUUUUGAUGUUCUUGAGUGACCUGAAAUUUAUAGAUAUUAAUUCCUGUAAAUUCCCCUUAUGUUCGCAUCGAUUGAAGUAUAUUGCAUUUUUGUAUAGUUUUGAAUAUUGAGUGUUUUUAUAAUAUAGAUUUAAUUAUGGUAUUAAGAGAUGGAUUAAGUCGGGGAAGUCCCCACUAAAGGCACAGGUACCAAAUGCAUUGAUUGCAUUUGUUUAACUAUAAAGCUCAUGUAUUUGGUACAAGCAAAUUAUGACUUAUAAAAAGAGUCAAAAAAAUACAAAUAAAAUAAUAAACAAUACUUAAUAAACACAACUUAAGUUAUGCAGCAGCUGUUGUAAAUAGCCCCCAAAUGUCCUUUUAUAUGUGCACAUGCACACACACACACACACACACACACACACACACACACACACACAGUGUCAGAGAAGGUGGUUGUUAACAUGCUGGCAGCCAUUUUGGAAGCUUUGAUUACUGAAGCUGUCAGCUCGUCUCCUAGCAAAUCAGACCUGCUUGUUGUGACCUAUUUGACCUUUUCCGCCAGCCAUCUGCAAGCUUCCCGCCGACAAGCACAACAACCUUGCUUGCGAAUUGCUUUGAAAACAAAGUUAAGUGAAGAAAUAAUGCAUAUCUGCACAUUAAAGCCUGAUAAAUGUGUCAAAGGUCCAAUUAUAGUGCAGUGCUGCUCAGGGGGGUUGGAUAAGUUUGCAUCACAACACAACUCCAAACAACAAUGUGCUGCUUUUAAUGAGGCUCAUUUGUCUAAGCUCGCGGUGAGAACAGAACAUCACCUCAAGGACUCCUUGCCUCCUUUUUUGGAAGUUUGAACAAUACAAAGCCUGAAAAAAUAGUAAACGGUUUAGCUUGUCACCUCAAAGGACCGUUACAGUCAACAAUUAAAGAUGUGAUAUCACAAAAAGAUAUUUUUUUAGUCAAACUACAACUGUUUUCGGCUGAGUUUGCAAAAGUCAGUGUUUGCCCUAAUUUGACAUAGUCCAAUUAAAGCUGAAAGCAACGAUGAAGGGGCCCUCGCCCCCUCUCCCCUUUUGCAUGUCGAAUCAACCAAAUGAUGAAAUUUUGCUGCCAUUCCAUGCCCAUAUUCGAUGGCGUAGGCCAGUGUUUCCCAACCUUUAUUGAGACAAGGAGCAUAUUUUAUAGUAGAAAAAUCUCAUGGCACGCUACCAAACCAAAGUGUCAUCAAGGCCCUGUAAAGUGAAAAUAAAUGUCUUCUGAAUUUGACGCACCACAAAAGAGUGGUGUUAACAACUAUUCCAAAUUUAAACGAUUAAAUAUAUCACCAAGUACAAUAUAUAACAUGAGCCUUCAAAAUGGUGAAAAAUCAAGCUGUUCGCUGUUGGCCUGUCCAUUGAAUGCGCUGAAACCAUACCCCAUUCAACUGUUAACUGUCAGUCAAAUACCAGUACUACAACCUAGAAAAAAUGCUACUUAAUCUAGCAACUUUCUUAUGCCUAUACAUCCCUAUGUUUGAGCCACAAAAAUAUAUCAACUAAGGCCUCCGUGCGGGAACAAGGCGCUCUGAAGCGGCCACGCCAGCAUGAAGCCGCUGUCCACACACUGUCUUUCACAUCAUACUCCCACCCCACUCCGCGCUAUUCUGUCUUACUCUGCAUGACGUGCAUGUACUCGCAGCCGACAACGAGGCGCUCAGCAAUUGUCUUCCUCAGCGAUUGUCAAACGUGUGUAACAUUUUUAGAAACAAAUGUCUGAACUCAAUUUACAGUGUCUUUAGGUUUUGUGAUAACUUUUUUUUACCUGAUGGACUUUGAUGUUGUUGCUGAGGGAUGUGUAUGUGUAUACACACACACACACACACACACACAGAAUAACUUGAAUCCCAUAGAUGCACAAUGAGUGACAGGAAAACAGCAUCGCAGAAUGCUGUCAAGUACGUAAUUUGCUGACGAGACAAGUUUGUGUGCAUGUGUUCUUAUAUGAGCGUGUGUGUGUCGGGAAUGCAGUUCACUUCCAAUAAAUUGCCGUCUCUGUGCAGUUGAGUCAUGUUUUAUUAACUGUUGUCCGCCUUGACACUUUGUUUAGCAUCUCAACUGAUGCCUGCGUCUCGUCCCCGAUGUUCCUUUCUCUCCCGUGUCUACCUUAAAUCAUACA